rnacentral:tRNA from 1 species
UCCCUGAUGGCUCACCGGUAAAGAACCUGCCUGCCAAUGCAGGAGACACAGGUUUGAUCCCUGGUUGGGGAA